GACGAACGCUGGCGGCGUGCUUAACACAUGCAAGUCGAACGGUGAAGGGGCCUGCUUUUGUGGGCCCUGGAUGAGUGGCGAACGGGUGAGUAACACGUGAGUAACCUGCCCCCUUCUUCUGGAUAACCGCAUGAAAGUGUGGCUAAUACGGGAUAUUCUGGGUCUGUCGCAUGAUGGGUCUGGGAAAGAUUGCGCCUUUGGGUGUUUUUGGUGGGGGAUGGGCUCGCGGCCUAUCAGCUUGUUGGUGGGGUGAUGGCCUACCAAGGCGGUGACGGGUAGCCGGCCUGAGAGGGUGGACGGUCACACUGGGACUGAGGCACGGCCCAGACUCCUACGGGAGGCAGCAGUGGGGAAUAUUGCACAAUGGGCGCAAGCCUGAUGCAGCGACGCCGCGUGAGGGAUGGAGGCCUUCGGGUUGUAAACCUCUUUCGCCAGUGAAGCAGGCCUGCUCCUUGUGGGUGGGUUGACGGUAGCUGGAUAAGAAGCGCCGGCUAACUACGUG
rnacentral:rRNA from 1 species